AGGGCUUCUGUUCCAGGAUAAUGGAUUUAAGUGUAUCUGGACUCAAGAGGAAGAUUCUAACCUGCUGCUUUCUGAAUGAUUGGAGAUUGCUGUGGCAACAUUUUGUUAAGUACCAGAAUCCCGGAGAAAUCACUGGAAGCAUGUUAUCAGAGGAACAGAUGGUUGGUGUCCCUCCUGGUCUGAAGAUGCACCCUUGAAGCUCAGAAUGCUGACUAUCCAAUCAAGAUCACACUGACUGCCACUGGAAAUAGGACGAGGACUGUACCUGAGUUCUUGAUACUCUAUCGGAGCUGUGCAACCAUCUUAUCCUCUAGUUCUAAUUUCAUUGAUGCACACCCAGAACCCAGAAUGAAAACAGAGCCUGUUCAAAGGAGAUGCUUACUGGGUCUUUGUCAAAUGCACAUACAUGAAAUCUGGAAGCAAAAUAACUUUUUCCCCACAAUGUUCUACUCAAUUUAAUUUAUGUAAAAUAAAUUUUCUUCACACAUUAAAAAA